UCCAUCCAGAUGUCCAGCCAAUGAGAAGCGGCGCUGACUCCGGCGAAGAAAGGAGGCGGAGGGAGGAAUGCUGCUGCAGGAUGCUCAUUAUUAUGGCUGUCAAACCCCAGUGACGACGGGAUAAAGAAAGAAAGAAAGAAAAAAAAACCCUUUGUUUUCAUGCGCGGUUGACGUGGGGGAUUUGCACACCAUGUCCGCUGCAGCUGCGGCGGUGUUGCUCGGAACGGUUUACGUUGUGCAUGCCCAAGAAGCCUCACUCGGGGGUUUCCGUGAGGGAACGGUGCGUUCGGAGCAGGCCGGGGCUUUGCUGCCAAGGAGAACCCUGUACAAAGAUGUCGUCACCAUCCUGUCAAGAUCCCACGCAGACCGUAAUGUCUACCCAUCAGCUGGAGUGCUGUUUGUCCACGUCCUGGAGAGGGAGCACUUCAAAGGAGAGUUUCCUCCUUACCCCAAAUCAGGCUCCUCCCCAGGUGAUGCCAGCAAUGAUCCGAUCACCUUCAACACCAACCUGAAGGGCUACCCCGACAGGCCGGGCUGGCUGCGCUACAUCCAGAGGACUCCGCACGGCGACGGCGUCCUCUAUGGUUCUCCCACCGCCGAGCAUGUGGGCAGGCCUACUGUCAUAGAGAUCACCGCCUAUAACAGACGCACGUUUGAGACGGCGCGCCACAACCUGGUCAUUAACAUCAUGGCGACAGAAGAGUUCCCGCUGCCGUACCAGGCCGAGUUCUACAUCAGGAACAUGAACGUAGAGGAGAUGCUGGCCAGCGAGGUGCUGGGAGACUUCCUGGGCGCCGUGAAGAACGUGUGGCAGCCCGAGCGGCUCAACGCCAUCAACAUUACCUCGGCGCUGGACCGCGGCGGCCGUGUGCCCCUGCCCAUCAACAACCUAAAAGAAGGCGUGUACGUGAUGGUCGGCGCCGACGUGCCCUUCUCGUCGUGCCUCCGGGAGGUGGAGAACCCGCACAACCAGCUGCGCUGCAGCCAGGAGAUGGAGCCCGCCAUCAGCUGCGACAAGAAGUUCAGAGCUCAGUUCCACAUCGACUGGUGCAAGAUCUCCCUGGUGGACAUCAACAAAGUGGUGCCUGUGUACGUCACCCGCCCGGACCCGGGCACAGGAGUGCUCCCCGAGUUCGGCGAGUACAACCCUCCGUCGGAGUCCCUGAAGAGCCGCGACUACUUCUCCGACUUCCUGGUGACGCUGGCCGUGCCCGCCGCCGUGGCGCUCGUCCUCUUCUUCAUCCUGGGCUACACCAUGUGCUGCCGACGGGAAGGGGUGGAAAAAAGAAACAUGCAAACACCAGCCAUCCAGCUGGUUCACCACAGCGCCAUCCAGAAGUCCAGCAAGGAGCUGCGGAGCAUGUCCAAGAACCGCGAGAUCUCCUGGCCUCUCUCCACCCUGCCCGUCUUCAACCCGGUCAGCGGGGAGGUGGUGCCGCCCAUCCACCCCGACAACUACGAGACCACCAGCAUGCCGCUCAUGCAGACACAGGCGAAUCUGCAGAAUCAGAUAACGAUACCACAGCAGAGGCCGUCAGAUACGUCUGGGUCAUUGGGCCUGCUUAGGAAUUUCCCUAAACAAAAAAACAAAACACAUUUGGAGCGGACGCCCCAGUUUGUGGCUUCUUGUGAUGCUGGUGCGUGAGCGCCCCCUUGUGAGCAUGACUGUCAGCUGCAUGACGCACUAACCUGCUGCUCUCUCUGUUCACUGCUAACCAAAGGAGAAAACUAUGUCAUGUCAACAUUUCGAAGACUGGAGGUAAAUGGUAUCCCUGAGGAAAGGAAGGUGGCGGAAGCACUAAACCUAUGACCAGAAGCAGCCGUGUUGGAACUGCCUUCCUCCUUCACGCUCGUCUGUGUUUUCUAACAUUCGUGCCAAAAAAACUAGGGCUGCAUGACGUUAACGAAUCAUGUGAUAGCCGUUUUGUUGUCGAAUAACGCAAUGAUGUCAGUGGCGAUAAAUCCACUUUUUUUUUUUUCCAAUGUUUCCAUUUGUGUGUAACCUUUAGCAUCAUCCUGUGUGUCGGGUGUAAAGUCUACUGCAAGCGGGGCGCCGCGUGUUACUGGCAUGCAUGUUAUUAAUUCACGGCACACAGAAUCUAACAGCACUUCAAAGUCCAUUGUGAUAACGUUGCACACGGCGAUAUUUUUGAUAUAUUAUAUAUUUGCAUCCCUGGUGCCAAUCUGCAUUUUAAACCCUUCUUAGUGAGAGUAAGGACAAAAAGAUCCGGGCGGAUGUUAAACAUGUUGCCAUUUUUGUUUGAACAAUGGACCUCAGAGAAAAAGGAGUUUUUAUGUAAUUUAUGAGUUGGUAAUAAAUUCUUGAAAUGUCAAGUGGUUUGGACCAAUUAAACAAGACACAGGUCAAAACAACCCAAAAGGGUUUUAUUGUUUUAAAUCGAUGUAUUUUAUUUUUUAUUAAACAAUGUACAACAGAAUAAAGGCAUUUAUAAAUAUGAA